rnacentral:rRNA from 1 species
AGAUAGCGGUGCCGCGAGCGGAGUCUGAGGUCGCGUCCCGGAAGAGCAGACUGGACGCGCUGAACUUUCUCUGUGGAGUGGACUUAGUAUAGGUGGUGGGGUAGGGGAGAAGAGUAGCCGAAGAAGCCGAGGCCGCUGGCCGCCGCCGGCAGAGUCCCCGUGCCCUUUCGUUUAUUCACUCACUUUGUUCCAGCACGCUUUUUUGUGCUUUCGGGCACAAUCAAAGUUACCGAAGAAGUUUCGAAGUUCGAAAAACCUUGGUAGGACGACCGGGGUUUUGGUAAGUAAAAACCCGAGGUUGUAAAUUUACCCCAUAGUCGUAACGCUUAUAACGGCUAAAGCGGUUCGGUGGACUUUUCUAUAGGAUAGGAGUCGUUCAACGACAACGAACGUGACCUUAGUAGACCAGUGCGAUGUCGUACCAGUAAUGUGGCUUUUUGACCUUGGAAAAGUCACAUUUGCAACGUUACCGGCCGUGUCCGAACAUAGUCGAAAGAGCAUUUUAUUCCUUUCUGAUGAAACUUCUACUCUUUCUCCAACGGCGUAGUGACCUUCCUAUCACUGCUUACCUAAUUAGCUGACUUUCGGGGCGACGGAUUUUAAGUCACACGGCGUCCCUACACAGCAAUAUAGACUGUCCUUAGGUAACAAAGAAAGGUACAGGCUUAACCAAACACAGCGAGUCAACGUGUGCACUUCUCUCGUUACACGUUUUAAAUGUGUUUGUUCGUUUAUAAACAAAUACGUAACACGUUUUUUUUUUCGUUUAUGUAGUUGGCCAGGGAACAUAAAACGGGACGGUAAGUCAGCAAACAAUGAUCUGGUAACAUCAACCGUAGGCGUUACCAACACACGGCGGAAAACGUGCUCAUUCCCGGUAACGGCGCGC